GAUCCAGCUAUGGAGAAAGCCGCAGGUAGGAGGCCAGGAGAAAUCCUCUGCAGGGGACUUUGGGACAGGCAAGGGGCCGACUUGGAGGCUGAAGCUUUGGGACCAGGGCACACUUGAUUUUGGGGCUUGGAGCCCUGAGGCAGUAGAUCUGCAGGACACAGCCUCGUUAACUCUCGCCAGGGUCUUCAGGAAGGAGACAGGAUCCUGGCGGUGAACAACGAUGUUGUGGAACACGAAGACUAUGCGGUGGCAAUCAGGGUCUUUUCUGGUUGGUGCUAAGUACCGGAGGAGCAGCUGAGCGGGCAGGGGUGCCCCCCGGGGCCCGGCUGCUGGAAGUGAAUGGGGUCAGUGUGGAGAAGUUCACUCACAACCAACUCACCAGGAAGCUUUGGCAGAGUGGACAGCAGGUGACCUUGCUGGUGGCAGGGCCAGAGGUGGAGGAACAGUGUCGCCAGCUGGGAUUGCCCCUGGCUGCACCCCUGGCAGAGGGCUGGGCACUGCCCACCAAGCCCCGCUGUCUGCACCUAGAGAAAGGGCCCCAGGGUUUUGGGUUCCUGCUCCGGGAGGAAAAGGGCCUUGACGGU
rnacentral:sRNA from 1 species